AAAAAGGACAGGUGCAGCGAGGAAGAACUACCCCUUUCCCAGUUUAAGUUUAAAAUGAGACACAACGAGCUUCAUUUCUCAUUGAGUCUGUACGAAAAAUAACCCAACACUAGAAAAAAAACACAUUGGAUCUUGAGUCCAGACUCUGAAAAACAUCGACAAGAAAAAGUACUCUUCAUUCAAUCAGAAUCUAGCUUAAAUCAAGCACCAAGCCUCUUAAUUUAAGCUGAUUUCGUUUUGAUUCAAGCAAAAAUCCGAUUGAAUCAAGAGUAUUUUUCUUGUCAAUGUUUUCAAGAGUCUGGACUCUAGAUCCAAUGUGUUUUUUUUCCAGUGAAGGUUUUCCACAUACAAUGCUUAAAUGACCUUAAAUUUUUGACGGUAGAAAAUGUGCAGCUGUCAAGUUCUGCUCAAAAUCCUUGUCGACUCCAUUUCCGAUGAAUAUAGGAACUGGUUACUCUCUGUUUCACUCAGUCCAAAUCAUCUUCGAAUUUUUCCUUGCAUAAUAAUUAUAGUAAUUUUCCAAUUAAUGUUUUGUAUACUCUUUCAGGUCAGUCUGCGACUUACAAUGGAGGAGCAGUGAGCCCUCACGUGGGUUUUGGAAUACAAGAGAACGGGCAGUAUUGUCGCAACGGAGCAAAUCCUGCUGGCUGCUGGAAUCCAGAUAAUGCUGGUCUUCAAGUUGUAUGGAAUAGUAACAACUGCGGGGCCAUCUCCACGAAUGGUCCAUUCUACUGCGGGAACAACGCACCGGACGCUCGGGAAAUCGUCAACGUUUCCGCCUCGGGAAACUGGCCAAACUGCGUUCUGACCCUCACCCGCAAGGGUGGAGCCCGCGGAUGUCAGUACAAAUGCUAACCAGAUGCUAUACAUCGGAACUCAAUGGAUUAUAUUGAAUGGAACUUCAACGUACACUCGGGCUACGCUGACGCAAAAACCAGGGCCUGUAGAGCAAAACCAAUACAACUAAUUUGGCUCCAGCUUCUCAACUUCCGGAGAAUUCAUCUGUAAAGCGGUUGAUUCCAACAAACAAGAGGAUAAAGGCUUUCUUUUUUUCGUUUUUUUAGAAGACUUUCGCUCCGGAGGAAGGCCAUUGAAAAAAAAAUAUCAUACCAAAUAAAGUCUUAUACUUUGACCCCAAAAAAUUGAAGUUCAGUUUAUUGUCCGUUUUGACUUAGGACACUUCGAAUACCGUUGAACUACCGCCGUAUAUUUAUUGUGAAAGCUCAAUUAUGAAUGUGUAAUUUUUCGGCAUACUUAAAAUUUACUUUGUUCAUUUAGACUCCGUUUUCAAAAAUGUUCAGCAUUGAUAUUUUAUUAACCCUUAGAUGACUGACCGUUUUUACCUACACGAAAGACUAACCCGGCCUGCGAGGCCCGUAUUGAGAAUAUAUGGUUAUUUGAUG
rnacentral:lncRNA from 1 species